rnacentral:rRNA from 1 species
UACGUAGGGUGCAAGCGUUGUCCGGAAUUAUUGGGCGUAAAGAGCUCGUAGGCGGUUUGUCGCGUCUGCUGUGAAAACGCGAGGCUCAACCUCGCGCCUGCAGUGGGUACGGGCAGACUAGAGUGCAGUAGGGGAGAUUGGAAUUCCUGGUGUAGCGGUGGAAUGCGCAGAUAUCAGGAGGAACACCGAUGGCGAAGGCAGAUCUCUGGGUCGUAACUGACGCUGAGGAGCGAAAGCAUGGGGAGCGAACAGG